UACAGAGGUCUCAAGCGUUGUUCGGAUUCAUUGGGCGUAAAGGGUGCGUAGGCGGCGCGGUAAGUCGGGUGUGAAAUCUUGGAGCUUAACUCCGAAACUGCAUUCGAUACUGCCGUGCUUGAGGACUGGGAGAGGAGACUGGAAUUUACGGUGUAGCGGUGAAAUGCGUAGAUAUCGUAAGGAAGACCAGUGGCGAAGGCGGCUCACUGGACCCGGUA
rnacentral:rRNA from 1 species